UGAACCAUUCAUGGAUGGCAGGUAAAACAUAGUGAACCAUUCUUGGGUGGCAGGUAAAACAUAGUGAACCAUUCAUGGGUGGCAGGUAAAACGUAGGGAACCAUUCAUGGGUGGCAGGUAAAACAUAGUGAACCAUUCAUGGGUGGCAGGUAAAACAUAGUGAACCAUUCAUGGGUGGCAGGUAAAACGUAGGGAACCAUGCUUGGGUGGCAGGUAAAACGUAGGGAACCAUUCAUGGGUGGCAGGUAAAACAUAGGGAACCAUUCAUGGGUGACAGGUAAAACAUAGGGGACCAUUCAUGGGUCGUAGGUAAAACAUAGGGAACCAUUCAUGGGUGGUAGCUAAAACAUAGUGAACCAUUCAUGGGUGGUAGGUAAAACAUAGUGAACCAUUCAUGUGUGGUAGGUAAAACAUAGGAACCAUUCUUGGGUGAUAGGUAAAACAUAGUGAACCAUUCAUGUGUGGUAGGUAAAACAUAGUGAACCAUUCAUGGGUGGCAGGUAAAACAUGGGGAACCAUUCAUGGGUGGCAGG